rnacentral:rRNA from 1 species
UACGAAGGGGGCUAGCGUUGCUCGGAAUUACUGGGCGUAAAGGGAGCGUAGGCGGGUUAUCAAGUUGGAGGUGAAAGCCCAGGGCUCAACCUUGGAAUUGCCUUCAAAACUGAUAGCCUAGAGUAUGAUAGAGGUAAGUGGAACUCCGAGUGUAGGAGGUGAAAUUCGUAGAUAUUCGGAAAGAACACCAGUGGCGAAGGCGACUUACUGGAUCAUGACUGACGCUCGAGGCUCGAAAGCGUGGGGAGCAACAGG